UCAUCAAUUAUUUAUGUACAUCUCCCUGCGCUCCUCUUUCUAGUUUCUACUUUCUAGGUCUCAUCGAGUCAAAACAACUUCGAUUGUCCGGGCUGGCAUCAACUAUCAAGAUCCGCGUUUACGCGUUUUGAGUAUCCCAGCCGAUUGGGAGCUUUUAGAGUGAAGAAAAUUGUUCUUUAGUUAGUGACUUGCAAUGAUGUUGGGGAGAAGAGGGGCUUGCACAAAAUGGCCAUUAAUCACAGGAUAUGGUUUUGCAAAAUUUAUUUUCUGUGCAUUGGGUUCUCCUUCCGGGUAUUCAAGAGAAGACUUGGACAUCAAUCUCAUAGCUAGUCUGUAGAAUCUACUUUGUCAAUACUAUAGUUUUUGUAGACAAUGGAAGGAAAGUGGGCUAGAGUACCGAAUGAUGGGAAGAAAACUAUUGUUGAUUUGAAAAGGAAAAGGAAAGUUCGGUGCGCAUCAAAUAUAGUUGGAGCUAGCCAACCACUGUUCUUGCAAGAGUCCAGCUUGAACUCAUCUUUAAGCAAGAUUGUUAAGCGUAAGAGAUCUGAUACAUGUAGAACCAACUAUGAAUCAUGGUUGAAUAGAUAUACUCUUAUUAACUAUAGGAAUUUCAGUAGAAGUGGGCUUCCUCAACGACUUAUGUAUCAUCAAAAUGGGGAUUGGAUCGAUCAUCCUCGACAAAUUGUGGAGUUGGUUAGGAGAGAUUUUCAGUUGAAAAAUGCAGCUGUGCAAGUGGAGUUCAAUGGCUGCCAUUUAUUGCUAGAUGUUAUGUAUAUGAUUCAAUGGGAGUUGAAAACAGGUUUACAGAAGCACUUUGCUUGGAUUGACGAAGCAGGUCACUGCUUCUUUCCACAGCUUCUCUCUUCUACUAGUGAAAUGCGUGAAUGCUGCCAAUCUAGGUCCACAGAUGAUCCACACACCAAUGGGACCUGUGAGGUCGAAUUGCAGCUUGAGAUUGGAAUAAUUGGAUCGACUAGCUAUGAUUCAGAAGAAUGUGUAGAAGAGUCAAAUAUUCGUGCUAAGAGGACUAAACUUAAAUUAAAAUCUAUUAGUGACUGUGCGGGUCUCAAUAUCAAAGACAAUGACAAUCAAACAUCAGAUGCUAAAAUGCAUGAGGCUAGUGGGGAAAAUCUACCUAUUGCUGUAAAUACAACAUCUAAGUCCCAUAUUGUGCAUGGAUUUCUGGAGUGUGAUACAGUGAAAAACAUGUUUAUGAAGAGCAUGGGAUCAUCUACAAGUGCAAAUGUACUAGAGGUUAAGCGUUGCUCUAGUUAUUUGACACAAACUCGGAUGGAGCUAUUUCAAAAGCAGAUUGAAAUAAUUGAGAGGGGUCGUGGCGAUCCAAAUGUACAAUAUGGUUGGCUAGCGGUCAAUAAAGAUGCUCUAAUGGGCAUGAUGACAUAUGGGCUUGGGCACGGUGGACCCAAAAUUAUGUCCUCGUAUGGCAAUGGAGUUCACCUUACACCAUUAAACUAUGCCCAUAUAAGUGCAAAUUAUUGUGAUGAUGACGAAAAUGGGAUGAGAUACAUAGCGUUCUGUUGUGUCAUAUUGGGAAAUAUGGAGGUUGUCAGUCCUGGAUCUGUACAAUGCCAUCCCAGUAGUGAAGACUUCGAUAGUGGAGUCGAUGACCUUCAAAGUCCGCAUCAUUAUAUAGUUUGGAAUAUGAAUAUGAAUACCCAUAUUUUUCCAGAAUAUGUUUUCUGUUUCAAGAUGGUUUCCAGUGCUGAUUGUGGAGGGGCUUUUGUUGCUAAAGAAAGUAGAAUUGAUGUGUCAGGAAGUAUUACUAGUGAAGGGCCUCACGUCCAGAGGCAGUUGUAUCACUCUCCAAUUCAAUCAGAGAAUUGUUGGCAAUCUCCAGAAUUUGACAAGAGAUGUCUGGAAAAAGCUGUUGCCCUCUGCCCAAGCUCUUCAAAGACUCCAAAAUCACCAUGGAUGCCUUUUGCCAUGUUGUUUGAAGCUAUCUCAAAAGAUGUUUCUCCUAAAGAUAUGAAGUUGGUGAACGAUCAUUAUGACCAAUUCAAGAGCAAGAAGAUUAGUCGCGAUGAUUUUGUCAAACAGUUGAGAUUGAUAGUUGGGGAUGCACUAUUGAGGUCUACCCUAAUGGGUCUUCAGUGCAAGCUAUGAUGUUCCUCAUAAUGUUCAUAUGGUGAAAGAUUUAAUAGAGGGGGAUACCAGAACAUGGUAAGCUGAUUUGAUCUCAAUAUUUUUGAUGCGGAAUCCAGACAUGCCAUCCUAAACAUAAUCUGCUACAGAAUGAAGAGGAGGUAUAUAAGAAUUGAAAACUUUCUUCAGUCUGCAUAUCCCAUUGAUCAGAAGGAACCUUACUUUCCAAUCACUCGAAGCAGUUGUGGAAUAUAAAAAUGCAGGACAGGCGGAGGUUAUUUUUGUGGAAAUCCUUACCUGUAAGAGGUCAAGUGGGUCAAUUCCUAUCUUCUAUAAAUGAUGAAUUGCUGCUGUGCCCUCUAUGUGAAGCUGGGGUAGAAACAGUAAAACCCAACUUUCUGGCAUGUCAUGUCAUGAGGGCUAUGUGACAGGAGUCACCUUGGCCAUUAGACACUUGCAGAUUUGCGUGAAUAACAAUGGGGGAAUGGAUCCAAAUUUUUUUACAUCCCCAGGACAGGUUUGAUCUUGGCCAGGAUAGUGGGCACGGCCUCCAGCUAUUUGCAGUAAUUAUUAUGGUUACUGUUUAAUUUGAUAGAAAUGAGGUGGUUCAUAUUGGGGAAGCCAGAUGUUCUUGUUAUGGACCUAUGGUGGUGAAGGGAAAACGCCUAUAGUUUGAACACAGAAAUAUGUACCAGAAAGAAAUGGUGGUUGUGUAGAAAAUUAAUGUUGAUUUAAAAAAAAAAAACAAAAUCUUGAUGGCUGCUUUUUGCCAAAAUUCUUCUGGUAUUAUCACAAAGGCUAUGGACAUCUAUCUAGAUUGGAGUCUAUAAAUUCAACUAUUGGGGAAGCCAGUGGUACUCAAUUUGCUCAACAUGAGUCUGCACAACAUAAUCUACAAGAACUGAUGAUGUUGAUUGGCCUAGGAGAUAUCUGGAUUCUCAGCCAGGCUGGUUGGUCCAGUGUAAUGCAGUGGCUCUAGAAGACAUUCUUUAUCAUUAUUAGCUUGGAGGAAAAUUCUUAUAAAACCUAAUUUGGUGGAGAUGUGAUCAAUUUUCCCAGUCAACCAUCCACAUGUGCCUUGAAAGUUCCAAAGCAGGAGCAAGACCUUUGAGUCUCUCAUUGAAGCUGUGGUGUUUACGAGUGUUAUCGGUAUUUGUUAUAUGCCUGAUGAUUACUUGUUUGCUACUUUGCCCUUUAAUGUGUCGACAUGAUGUGGAGAACAGUCGUAACAGUCUUCAAAAUUUUCUGUAAGUGGUUCUUCACCACUCCUUUUCCGCCUUGAGGUUUUGCGUAUUGUGAAUGCGUGCCCUAGUUUCUAUAUGAUCAAAUUGUCAACAUAGAACCUAAAACUCGUAGAACUGCUCAAGUUAUUGGCUGGAUUAGGAAAACCAAACCUUGGGUCUGAAAUUCCAAAAUAUCUGCGGUUCCAACAUAAGUGGUGCUUAGUGCUAGUGCUAGUGCUGUCAGUUUGGUACAGUGAGAAUUUUUUGUAUUGUAUAAUUUGGCAUUUGACAAAUACAAUGUGUUAUUUUUGCAUUCC